UUUCUGAAAUGGCAUACUACAUACUGCUCGUAUACUGAUCGUGACGUAAAAGUAUAUACAUCCAGAGCUCACUACGUCGGAUACUGUAUCCCAUAAUGCAACGCGGCACCGUUGGAAAAAAAACGUUAAACAUUUCGAAUAAUGGCGGCGGAAAAUGCGAGCGAUGAAUAUAAAUGGACUGAUGUAGACACCGCAGCUCUCAUCAGUUGGAGAUCUACGAAUGAGGGCAUGUUCACGGGCAGGAGGAAUGCGGCGCAGAAGGGGUUCGAGUAAGUUGGUUUAGUUAGACAUUACAUCUUUUGCAUGUAGUCAAAGAACUGUUUAGUUUUCAUCCCUUUUCUUGUAGAGAAUUUAUUAAGGUCCAGGGGCUAGAGGGGAAGAUGGAGGCCACCAAAAU